GACGUAGGCAGCAAACGUUGUUCGGAGUUACUGGGCGUAAAGAGUACGUAGGCGGUUUGCCAAGUUUGGUGUGAAAUCUCCUGGCUUAACUGGGAGGGUGCGCCGAAUACUGGCGGGCUUGAGUAUUGGAGAGGAAAGCGGAAUUCCUGGUGUAGCGGUGAAAUGCGUAGAUAUCAGGAGGAACACCGGUGGUGUAGACGGCUUUCUGGACAAUCACUGACGCUGAGGUACGAAAGCGUGGGUAGCAAACAGG
rnacentral:rRNA from 1 species